rnacentral:rRNA from 1 species
AUUGAACGCUGGCGGCAGGCCUAACACAUGCAAGUCGAGCGGCAGCGGGAAAGUAGCUUGCUACUUUUGCCGGCGAGCGGCGGACGGGUGAGUAAUGCCUGGGAAAUUGCCCAGUCGAGGGGGAUAACAGUUGGAAACGACUGCUAAUACCGCAUACGCCCUACGGGGGAAAGCAGGGGACCUUCGGGCCUUGCGCGAUUGGAUAUGCCCAGGUGGGAUUAGCUAGUUGGUGAGGUAAUGGCUCACCAAGGCGACGAUCCCUAGCUGGUCUGGGAGGAUGAUCAGCCACACUGGAAUUGAGGCACGGUCCAGACUCCUACGGGAGGCAGCAGUGGGGAAUAUUGCACAAUGGGGGAAACCCUGAUGCAGCCAUGCCGCGUGUGUGAAGAAGGCCUUCGGGUUGUAAAGCACUUUCAGCGAGGUGGAAAGGUCAGUAGCUAAUAUCUGCUGGCUGUGACGUUACUCGCAGAAGAAGCACCGGCUAACUCCGUGCCAGCCGCCGCCGUAACAC